AACUGGGACUCACUAUAGGUCGUAACAUUACUGUAAAUGAGCACCUAUAAGUAUUUCUGGACUAAAAUAUUGCAAAGCGAUUUGGUCACUUUAUUUGUCAUGCUUUUAUCAGUUGUAACAUAAUCAAAACGUUAAGCAUAUCAUAUCAGAACAUGAAAUAACAACUAGCUGCCAUAGCUAUCCUAGCUGACGCUUAUCGUAGCUCAUAGUGCUAGGGCUAAUGUAAGUCGUCAGUUUGUACGUUGCCCAGCGAAUAAGUAGGCUUAAUUCUUACAUGUCUUAAGUUAAAGAAUUGAAAGAAAUAGGAAAUAAAGAAAACGCUUGAACGGGUUUAUCCAUUUACAUUCAGAUCUUGCCAUAGACUUUGCCUAAGCGCUUGCUUGGUAGUCUACCGUCCUGUUCAGUCUAUGGUUGCUAUAGCAACCGCUGCUGUGCUUCAUAAACUGACGAGAUAACCGUGCUUGA